AACAUACUCCCUCCGUCCCAAAAUUCUUGUCCCAGAUUUGUCUAGAUACGGAUGUAUCUAACACUAAAACGUAACUAGAUACAUCCGUAUUUAGACAAAUCUAAGACAAGAAUUUUGGGACGGAGGGAGUACUAU
rfam:Triticum aestivum genome assembly, contig: Triticum_aestivum_CS42_TGACv1_scaffold_158646_2DL